UUUGGUGGCGAUAGCGAAGAGGUCACACCCGUUCCCAUUCCGAACACGGCAGUUAAGCUCUUCAGCGCCAAUGGUAGUUGGGGGUCUCCCCCUGUGAGAGUAGGACGCCGCCAAGC
rnacentral:rRNA from 1 species